rnacentral:rRNA from 1 species
CUACGGGGGGCACCAGUGGGGAAUAUUGCACAAUGGGCGAAAGCCUGAUGCAGCAACGCCGCGUGAGGGACGACGGCCUUCGGGUUGUAAACCUCUUUUAGCAGGGAAGAAGCGAAAGUGACGGUACCUGCAGAAAAAGCACCGGCUAACUACGUGCCAGCAGCCGCGGUAAUACGUAGGGUGCAAGCGUUGUCCGGAAUUAUUGGGCGUAAAGAGCUCGUAGGCGGUUUGUCGCGUCUGCUGUGAAAAUCCGAGGCUCAACCUCGGACCUGCAGUGGGUACGGGCAAACUAGAGUGCGGUAGGGGAGAUUGGAAUUCCUGGUGUAGCGGUGGAAUGCGCAGAUAUCAGGAGGAGCACCAAUGGCGAAGGCAGAUCUCUGGGCCGUAACUGACGCUGAGGAGCGAAAGCGUGGGGAGCGAACAGGAUUAGAUACCCUUGUAGUC